UACAGUCAUAUCACGCUGAAAAACCGGUUCCCGUAGGAUCACAGAAAUUAAGCAACGCCGGGCCUUGUUAGUACCUAGAUGGGUGACUGCUUCGGAAUAUCAAGUGCUGUAG